rnacentral:rRNA from 1 species
UACGUAGGGCGCAAGCGUUGUCCGGAUUCACUGGGUGUAAAGGGUGCGCAGGCGGGAGUGCAAGUCAGAGGUGAAAUCUCACGGCUCAACCGUGAAACUGCCUUUGAUACUGCAUUUCUUGAGUCAGGGAGAGGUUGAUGGAAUUCCAGGUGUAGCGGUGAAAUGCGUAGAUAUCUGGAAGAACACCGGUGGCGAAGGCGGUCAACUGGCCCUCG